rnacentral:rRNA from 1 species
UGGGGAAUAUUGCACAAUGGGCGGAAGCCUGAUGCAGCAACGCCGCGUGAGUGAUGAAGGCCUUCGGGUUGUAAAGCUCUGUCUUUUGGGACGAUAAUGACGGUACCAAAGGAGGAAGCCACGGCUAACUACGUGCCAGCAGCCGCGGUAAUACGUAGGUGGCAAGCGUUGUCCGGAUUUACUGGGCGUAAAGGAUGCGUAGGCGGAUUUUUAAGUGAGAUGUGAAAUACCCGGGCUUAACUUGGGUGCUGCAUUUCAAACUGGGAAUCUAGAGUGCGGGAGAGGAGAAUGGAAUUCCUAGUGUAGCGGUGAAAUGCGUAGAGAUUAGGAAGAACACCAGUGGCGAAGGCGAUUCUCUGGACCGUAACUGACGCUGAGGCAUGAAAGCGUGGGUAGCAAACAGGAUUAGAUACCCUGGUAGUCCACG